GAGCUUCUGCAGCACAUCCACUAAAAUUGGAACCAUACAGAGAAGAUUAGGAUAGCCCCAUGCACAAGGAUGACAGGCAAAUUUGUGAAGCAUUCCAUAUUUAA